rnacentral:rRNA from 1 species
AUUGAACGCUGGCGGCAGGCCUAACACAUGCAAGUCGAGCGGAUGAAGGGAGCUUGCUCCUGGAUUCAGCGGCGGGCGGGUGAGUAAUGCCUAGGAAUCUGCCUGGUAGUGGGGGAUAACGUCCGGAAACGGGCGCUAAUACCGCAUACGUCCUGAGGGAGAAAGUGGGGGAUCUUCGGACCUCACGCGAUCAGAUGAGCCUAGGUCGGAUUAGCUAGUUGGUGGGGUAAAGGCCUACUAAGGCGACGAUCCGUAACUGGUCUGAGAGGAUGAUCAGUCACACUGGAACUGGGACACGGUCCAGACUCCUACGGGAGGCAGCAGUGGGCAAUAUUGGACAAUGGGCGAAAGCCUGAUCCAGCCAUGCGGCGUGUGUGAAGAAGGUCUUCGGAUUGUAAAGCACUUUAAGUUGGGAGGAAGGGCAGUAAGUUAAUACCUUGCUGUUUUGACGUUACCAACAGAAUAAGCACCGGCUAACUUCGUG